UAUUUGACACUCACCAGACCAGACAUUUCAUUUGUUGUUAACAAAGUCUGUCGGUUUCUUCAUGCACAUACUACAGUUCAUUUCACUACUGCCAAACGUAUAGUAAGAUAUGUGAAAAAUACUUUGAGCAUUGGCCUAAAUUUCAGCAAGUCAUCCUCUACACUUGUCAGUGCCUUCUCUGACUCAGACUGGGCAUGAUGUCUGGAUGACAGACGCUCAACUGGUUGUUUUGCAGUUUUCUUUGGACCUAACUUGAUAUCUUGGUGUGCAAGGAAGCAAGCCACCGUUUCCAGAUCCCGCACAGAAGCAGAGUACAAGGCAUUGGCCAAUGCAACAACAGAGAUCAUACGGGUGCAGUCUAUUUUGAAGGAACUAGGUUGCAGAUGGUUUUACCAAGGCUCUACCCACAAGAGGUUUUGAGGACUUUAAGCAUAAUCUCAACUUGAUGAAGUUGUGAUUAAGGGAGGGUGUUAAACGUAACCAGUACUUAGCGUAUAAGGCAAGGAGGAUCUACCAACCCAACCGAAGGAGUAGUUAGACAUGAUAGAUACUCAUGUAAUCUUUAUCCUCUCUUAUCUAUAUCUCUUGGUUCCUUCUCCUCCAAGUUGUAUUCCUAGAAUCUCUCCAACAACUUGUACGUGUAUUGGGCUCGCACCCCAUCUAUUUAACACGCAUCACGUCGGCCGGGAAGGCUAAGACGUUUCCCGCAU